UGGGAAGGAAGAAUUACAGGGACAGAGGAAGAGAUAAGGAGUGAUGGGAUCCCAUUAUUAGCCCAAGAAUAUAUUUUCUGGAGGACAAAUGUUUCAUCAUUAUUGUUUUCCCACUUGGUUUGGGAGGGGAGCAUUAUUGCUCGUUUAGUCUCAACAUGGUUGGAAAAUAUUUUAAUAAGACUGGUUAGUUUGUAAUUCUUCCCUUAUUUGCACCAUGGAUUUACUUUUUUAUGUUAUUUAACAAUAACUUUUGAACAUUAUAUUUCACUAGUAUGGGCUCCUAAGAACAUUUUCCCUUCCCUUUGACACAAAUUAACUUGGAAAGAGAUCCUUUGACUCUACUUUUAUAAAAAUAGGGUCAUUUAGUUUCUUUCCUGGGGCUAUCAUGGCAGACAAAGUUAUCAAAGAUUAAUUUUUCAUUCCAGUCUUAACAUGCAACUAGCAGCCACAGCCACAUACUUAACAUUUCAAACUAUUAAACCAUGUGUAUUCAUAGCACACGUUAAUAGUCACAUCUGUAGAGUAGCUGUUAAGAACAGUGUGUCCUAUUCCAGCCUAGGAAUUACCCUAAUUAUUAGACAUAGUUGAUCUAAUAGGGAGAGAGGAAAGAAGGGAGGGAAGGAGAGAAGGGGGAAAGCGGUGAGGGAGGGAGACAGAGAGGUGCAGCUUUUGAAGUUCUAGAUAGUUGAAUAAAGAAACAUGUCUUCUAUCUGAAGUGUCCUAAUAUAUUCAAGCAACUUAGGCACAAUGGAAAUCCAAACAAACAAACAAUUGAGCUGGGAUACAGUGAAGCCAUGAGCAGAAAAGAGUCAGCCUGAUUAGAUUUCAUACACAAAUGCCAGAAGUAUGAGUUAGACUUUCCUUAAGUUCUUGAUCCAUUUCUUUCCCUUUCUUUGGAGAUCCUAGUAUCAUUAAAGAAAAGCUGCCAUCCUUGCUUUGUGGCUAUUUCUUCCAAAGUAUAGAUGAUAUUAUUAGCCUUAACUUUAGCUCCAUGUGUUAGGUACCAUAGGAAGUUG